rnacentral:lncRNA from 1 species
AAAUACUAUGGGCUCAGGCUCAGAGUUCGUGUUGCUACCCUCGUAACUGUGUUCAAUCUUUUAAUCAGGAGGUUUUUCUUUUGGGCACCGUUCUUGUUGGGAUUCAUUGGUUCUUAUUUAUUUUCUUCUUUUUAUUUCUCUUUUGAGCAUGCUUUUUUUCCAACCUCAAUUCUUCUAGAUAAGUGCUUCAUGAUACUUCUCAUAAUUUUUUCAUUUCUCUUUCUUUUUUUUUCUUUGAUGUUUCGUGGCUUUUCUCAUUUUUCUGCACUUAUCUACUCUUCAUCGGUGUCCCAAAAUUUUGAUGAAACCCCAAACUUAGGAUUUUCCAAAGAUUCGGGGUAAACAUCACUUAUCUAAGCAAGGUGUGGUAGUGUUUGGGCUUACAGUUAUUUACAGUGGUUAAACAACAACCAAAAGGAUGUAUGGCUCGAAUUGGGUGAACAAAGGGUAAUACUUGAAGGUUGGCUGGAAAGGUUCA